rnacentral:lncRNA from 1 species
CGAUUGCAACAUACAUGGUGAACUCAAACCUAGGCACCUAAUAAGAGACUUAAUCGAUCUAAUUGGCCAGGUAAGGUCAAGAUUGGUGGGAGGCUCCCCAUGCAUGAGCAACAAUCCUAAUUAAGUAACCAUAAUUCUAUUCCUUGUCUUAGACACCAAUCGAUCAACCAGUUUAAAUUAGUUCAGCCCAAUUGGUUUAUGUCACCAA